rnacentral:lncRNA from 1 species
ACAGGCAUCCGCCACCACACCCGGCUAAUUUUUCUAUUUUUGGUUAGAGAUGGUGUUUUGCCAUGUUGGCCAGGCUGGUCUCUGCCUCCUGGGCUCAAUCAAUCCUUCCACUUCAGCCUCCCAAGCAGCUGAGAUAACAGCUGUGCGCCACCAUGCCCAGCAAAUUUUUUUAUUGUUGUUGUUUUCUUUGUUUUUUAUUUAUUUUUUGAUAGAGAUGGAGUUUUGCCAUGUUGCCUAGGCUGAUCUUAAACUCUUGGGCUUAAGCAAUCUGCCUGCCUUGGCUUCCCAAAGUGCUGGAAUUACAGGCAUGAACCACCACUCCUGGCCAGCUCUUGACCUUACAGGUUUUCAAAGUCUAGUUUUUUUUUUUUACUACAGAGAAACUAACUUAGAAACUGCUCGUGAAUUUCAGGAAAAAAUUAUAUUUGUUAUUUUAGGUAUGCCUAAUGUUAAUUUAAAAAUUCUUUGAUUUUACUUAUGUUCUUAUUCAUAGAGCAACUGGUGACAAUGCAAAUAUUAGCAAAGAUAAAAUAUUGAGAGCUGCUUAUGUUUGGCCAUGGUUUGGGGGCUGGGGAUACAUAGGCCUAAGAGAUGCCCUAUGCCU